GGCAGAAUAGUUUAGUUGGUUAGAACAGUGGAAUCAUAAUUCACAUGUCGAAGGUUCAAAUCCUUCUUCUGCUA
rnacentral:tRNA from 1 species